ensembl:miRNA
AUCCGUUGGGCAUCUUUCUUUGCCUUUAGACAAUAAUUCUGAUGGCAAAAGAGCCAAACGGGACAGG